rnacentral:rRNA from 1 species
CUGACUGACCGAUAGUGAACCAGUACCGUGAGGGAAAGGCGAAAAGAACCCCGGCGAGGGGAGUGAAAAAGAACCUGAAACCGUGUACGUACAAGCAGUGGGAGCACCCUUUGGGGUGUGACUGCGUACCUUUUGUAUAAUGGGUCAGCGACUUAUAUUCUGUAGCAAGGUUAACCGAAUAGGGGAGCCGUAGGGAAACCGAGUCUUAACCGGGCGUUAAGUUGCAGGGUAUAGACCCGAAACCCGGUGAUCUAGCCAUGGGCAGGUUGAAGGUUGGGUAACACUAACUGGAGGACCGAACCGACUAAUGUUGAAAAAUUAGCGGAUGACCUGUGGCUGGGGGUGAAAGGCCAAUCAAACCGGGAGAUAGCUGGUUCUCCCCGAAAGCUAUUUAGGUAGCGCCUCGUGAAUUCAUCUCCGGGGGUAGAGCACUGUUUCGGCUAGGGGGCCAUCCCGGCUUACCAACCCGAUGCAAACUGCGAAUACCGGAGAAUGUUAUCACGGGAGACACACGGCGGGUGCUAACGUCCGUCGUGAAGAGGGAAACAACCCAGACCGCCAGCUAAGGUCCCAAAGUCAUGGUUAAGUGGGAAACGAUGUGGGAAGGCCCAGACAGCCAGGAUGUUGGCUUAGAAGCAGCCAUCAUUUAAAGAAAGCGUAAUAGCUCACUGGUCGAGUCGGCCUGCGCGGAAGAUGUAACGGGGCUAAACCAU